CCAUUUAAGUACCGGGUAUCGUGCGAUCACCGAAGUUAAGCAACUUUGUGCUUGUUUAGUACCUAGAUGGUGACCACUUGUGAAUACCAAGUACC